rnacentral:rRNA from 1 species
GAUGAACGCUAGCGGCAGGCCUAACACAUGCAAGUCGAGGGAGAAGCCUUUCGGGGCAGAAACCGGCGCACGGGUGCGUAACGCGUAUGCAACCUACCUUUCACAGGGGGAUAGCCCGAAGAAAUUUGGAUUAAUACCCCAUAAUAUUGUUGGAUGGCAUCAUCUGAUAAUUAAAACUGCGGUGGUGAAAGAUGGGCAUGCGUCCUAUUAGCUAGUUGGAGUGGUAACGGCACCCCAAGGCUACGAUAGGUAGGGGUCCUGAGAGGGAGAUCCCCCACACUGGUACUGAGACAGGGACCAGACUCCUACGGGAGGCAGCAGUGAGGAAUAUUGGUCAAUGGUCGGAAGACUGAACCAGCCAUGCCGCGUGCAGGAAGAAUGCCUUAUGGGUUGUAAACUGCUUUUAUAUGGGAAGAAUAAGGUGUACGUGUACAUUGAUGACGGUACCAUAUGAAUAAGC